rnacentral:rRNA from 1 species
AUUGAACGCUGGCGGCAGGCCUAACACAUGCAAGUCGAGCGAGCGGCGGACGGGUGAGUAAUGUAUGGGGACUGCCCGAUAGAGGGGGAUAAAUACUGGAGACGGUAGCUAAUACCGCAUACUAUCGGAUAAUCCCUAUGGGAUUAGCUAGUAGGUGAGGUAAUGGCGCACCUAGGCGACGAUCCCUAGCGGGUCUGAGAGGAUGAUCAGCCACACUGGAACUGAGACACGGCCCAGACUCCUACGGAGGCAGCAGUGGGGAAUAUUGCACAAUGGGCGCAAGCCUGAUGCAGCCAUGCCGCGUGUAUGAAGAAGGCCUUAGGGUUGUAAAGUACUUUCAGUGGGGAGGCGUUACCGACAGAAGAAGCACCGGCUAACUCCGUGCCAGCAGCCGCGGUAAUUC